rnacentral:rRNA from 1 species
UACGAAGGGGGCUAGCGUUGUUCGGAAUUACUGGGCGUAAAGGGCGCGUAGGCGGCGUGUCAAGUCAGGCGUGAAAGCCCCGGGCUCAACCUGGGAACCGCGCUUGAGACUGGCAUGCUCGAGUUCGGGAGAGGAUGGUGGAAUUCCCAGUGUAGAGGUGAAAUUCGUAGAUAUUGGGAAGAACACCGGUGGCGAAGGCGGCCAUCUGGACCGGCACUGACGCUGAGGCGCGAAAGCGUGGGGAGCAAACAGG